UCACUUCGGCAGCACAUAUUCUAAAAUUGGAAUGAUACAGAGAAGAUUAGCAUGGCCCCUGUGCAAAUUCGUGAAGCAUUCCAUAAUUUU
rnacentral:snRNA from 1 species